UACGAAGGGUGCAAGCGUUAUUCGGAAUCACUGGGCGUAAAGGGUGCGUAGACGGUAUGUUAAGUUCGUUGUUAAAGGCUCCGGCCUAACCGGAGUACCGCAAUGAAAACUGGCGUGCUAGAGGGUGAGAGAGAGAAGUGGAAUUCCCGGAGUAGCGGUAAAAUGCGUGGAUCUCGGGAGGAACACCAAUGGCGAAGGCAGCUUCUUGGCUCAUUCCUGACGUUGAGGCACGAAAGCGUGGGGAGCAAACAGG
rnacentral:rRNA from 1 species